UCUCUUGCCCGGGGCCAGACAAGCAGCAGUGCUGUGUCCCCUCAGGGCUGCCCAAAAUGCAGUCACUUGUGGAGAAGGGUAAGUGGCUGGGGCUAGGUGUCCACGGUCAUGAGCACAAAGCCCCACAUGAUGGGCUGUGCUCUGAGACUUGGGGUAGAAAGAGAAGGGGACCAGUGGGUGAGGGACCAGGUCCCAGGCUAAUUCUCCAGGUACUGCCAAGGAUGGCAUUUUGACAGGUCGAAGAAAUUUCAAGUUAGAACCUAGCUUUCUCAGUUGUUAUGGAGCUGCAUUUGUUAAGAAAGGAGGAUAGAGUAUAUCUUAUUUAAGCUUGCUUGAUUUAUAACAUUUAAAUAUUUUAAAAUAUGGUAUUUGUGUUCCCUCGUUUAUUCUUUUCAGAGCCCUGAAAAUGUGAGGGUCUGGCCUGUGACCACCCCUGCUGUAGCCACGGGCCCAGGAGUCUAUUCUGUGGGCCUAUAUCCUAGGGUUGGAAGAUGCUGGCCUGAAGGAUGCUUUCUGACUCUCUGAGUUAACAAUACCUACCUGGCAAGGGAUGGAGCAACUUAAAUGAGGAAACAGGGGAAUAUGUGAAGACCGCUGGCACAGGGCCUAGAGGAGCAAGAACUCAGUAAAUAACUGCUUCCCUUCCUCGAGUAAGGCUAAUUCAUUUAAAACUAACACUUCUCCUUUACUUCCCUCAUUUAUAUUUUCAGGACUAAGUAAUUGAAUUAUUUCCAUUUUUCUUCUUGUGAUGAAUUUCCAACUCAUCUCAGUUGUGUGUGUGUGUGUGUGUGUGUGUGUGUGUGUGUGUGUGUGUGAAGAGUGUGUCCUUCAUACAGUAUAUCAAAAUGACAACUAGCCUGCCAUCAGGAGGCUGAACACUUUGAGUUUUUUAUGACAAGAGACUGUUCAUAUUUCUCCUUUGCCAGCAACUCUUCUUCCCCACAUAUCAACACCCUGUCUAGUCUCCUGCAGUGAGUAUGUGGAACAGAUACAUAGAUGAGCUUGGUCACUGGGCCUGGAGGUACUCAGCUAGUGGCCCUCAGUAGAUGCUGGAGAAUUGAAGCAAGGUUGACUCCAGACUGUUGAGGUUAACCGUGCCCUAUUACAACCUACUUUCAGUGUUUUACAGUGAGUCUGUAAGCUCCUGGUUCAGUACCCAUUCCUCGGUGUAUUAGGCCUGCAUAGCAACUGUUUAGUAAAUGCCUGUCAGAUGGAAGCAUGAGUAAGUGAUAGAAAAUGCAAUUAGGGACUUCCCUGGUGGCACAGUGGUUAAGAAUCCACCUGCCAAUGCAGGGGACAUGGGUUUGAUCCCUGGUCUGGGGAGAUCCCACAUGCCGCAGAGCAACUAAGCCUGUGCACCACAACUACUGAGCCUGUACUCUAGAGCCACAACUACGGAGCCCAUGAGCCACAACUACUGAGCCCACACACCACAACUACUGAAGCCUGUGCACUCUAGGGCCCACGUGCCACAACAACUGAAGCCUGUGUGCCUAGAGCCUGUGCUCUGCAACAAGAGACACCACUGCAAUGAGAAGCCCGCGCACUGCAACGAAGAGUAGCCCCCGCUCGCCACAACUAGAGAAAGCCCACGUGCAGCAACAAAGACCCAAUGUAGCCAAAAUAAAUAAAUAAAUAAAAUUCUUUAAAAAUUUAAAAAAAAAAAAGAAAAGAAAAAAGAAAAUGCAGCUAGGAGUUGAAGCCCUGUGCUUGCUGUGGGCCCAUUUUACCUUCAGUAGUAGGCAAGCCACAUAUGUGUUUGUUGCCUAUUUGAAUAAACUAUAAGAAUAAAUGAAAUGAAUGAACACUGAAUGGAUGGUGGAGAAAUGUCUAUGAGCAGAUAGAGGGCUGCACUGAGGCAGCAUCUGUGUUGAACUGCUCCACACACUGAAAGGCUUGAAGCUUCCUGUCCAUCCAUUUCUCUUUCUCUAAAAUAGGCCCAUGGUAUCUGCCCAAACAGGGAAAAGUAUUUAAUAAGACGAGGUGCUCUAGCUGAGUGCUGUAAAUUCUUGGGGAUUGCUCUUAAUAUUUGUCAGUCAAUAUAACUGAUUAACAGAAGACUUAGCUGUGCAUAUAUUAGUUCUUAAAAGGAGAUAUAGUUUUCUUAUUAUUUGAAAUUCUUCUUAGCCACCCAACUCUUGCGUUUGCUUCGUCUCUGUUUUGUGUUCACCUGUACAUAGAUACGGAUGGACUAAUACUGGCUCUAAACGAGGACGAGGGCCUGUCUCAGUUCAGGCACCAUAGUGUCUAAGGCCCACACUGUGACUGGAAGUUGCCCUGCAGCCCUGGCUGGCUAAAGAUGAAGCUGCUGAAGUUCUGGCAGUGGCAUGGGCACAGACACAUCUCUGCCACUCCUAUGAACCUCAAAUAAAGCCGAAUGGAGCUAGCAAGCCAUGGCUUAGAAUUAGAGAGCAGAUUUCUAUAAAAUCAAAUCAUCAGUGGAAAGCUUGCUGCAGACUGUGUAUUAUUUAGGACACAUGUCAAGAUGCUGAACAGAGAAGCCCCAAAACAUGUGACAACACAAGCUAGGUCAGCAAUCCUGGGCAGGGAGACAUUUAUGCUCCAGGGACCCAGGUUAGCAGGUGUGAUACGCCUUCCUGCAUAUGGCUUCCAUCGUGAGUCCAACCUCUUCUGCUCUUGUUGCCAUUUCCUGGCUGUGGGAAUGGGGCAAAAGGAAGUUCAUGGCAAGUUCUGUCUGUAAGGACAUGACCCUGAAAUUCUGUACAUAACCACUGCCCCAAACUUUGUCCAUGGCUACAUGUGCAGAGGAUGUUGGGAAACAUAAUCUCCAGCUAGGAGAACUUAUGCCCUGGUAAGAUUCCUAAAAAGGAAAAAAGGGAGUAUGGCUAGCAGGAGACAAUUGAGCAUCUCUGCUAGAGGGUGGGAGGCAGAUGUGUUCAAUUUUGCAAAUUUUUUGUGUAUUCUAGUAGAACACUUUAAUUACAAAUAGUGAAAGAAAGAAAAGAGGAGGCAUUGUGAGAGUCCACGUAAAGCAGCAAGAGAGAAACCAUAGAAGCCAAAAGGCAACUGUAGCAGGAUUGGAACCCACAAGGUUGUGACAGAAGGUACUUCCAUGUCUAAUGCUCCUCAAGGGGCCCCUGUAUUUAGAGUUUGCAGAUCUUUCACCACUUGUACUGAAGUGACUUGGCUACAUCUGUAUGUGUGUUUUUUUCGGCCCCAACUAUUCAGCUGGCUAUUCCUCUUAAUUUACGCUCAUAGAUGAACUCUCUUGGGCCUCACCCUUACUUUAAACAAUUGCAAUUUCUUUCUCCACUUUUAACUAGAAACUUCUUUCAUUGUUCUGAGUCAGGUCAUACAGGUUCUGAGUCACUGGUCACACUAUGGGGUUAGUCUCUUUAGCUGGUACUAUAGAAAGAGUAAGUGUCCCUAGGAAAAGGAGGGGGUGGCAGGUAUAGUGGCAUCUCUUAUACACUAGCUCCCUGCUACUCAGAAUGUGACCCAAAGACCAACAGCAUCAGCAUCAGCAUCGCCUGGGAGGUUUUUAGAAAUUCAGAAUCUCAGGCCACACCUCGAACCCACCGUAUUAGUUUCCUAGGUAUUGUACUUUGCCUUCGCAUAACACCACAAACUGGGCAGCUUAAACAACAGAAAUGGUCUCACAGUUUUAGAGGCUACAAGUUUGAGAUCAAGAUGUUAGCAGAGUUGGUUUCUUUUGUCAUCUUUGAGGUAGAAUCUGUGGCAUGCUUUUCUCCUAGCCUCUGGUGCUUUGCUGGCCAUCUUUGGAAUUCCUUGGCUUGUAUAUGCAUUACCCUGAUCUCUGCUUUGAUGUUUACAUGGCAUUCUGCCUGUGUUCAGGUGUCUCUUCAUGUGGCAUUGUUUUUUAAGGACACUAGUCAUACUGAUACAGGAGCCUAAACCCUACUCCAGUAAAACUUCAUCUUAACUAAUUACAUCAGCAAUGACCCUAUUUCCACAUGAGGUCACAGUCUGAGGCACUGAGGGUUAAAACUUCAACUUGAAUUUAGUGGGGGCACACAAAACCACUGAAUCAGAAUCUCAAGCAAGUAAUUUGUAUGCAUAUUAAAAUUUGAGAGGAAGUGCCCUAAAGUUCUCCAAACACUGAUGUGCGACCAACACACUUACUACUACCCCAAGUGUAUAAUGGAAGUCACCCUAAACUUGGACUCCUGGAUUCUGGCUCUACCUCAGCCAUUUUACUUUUAGCGCACAGCCAUGCAUCAGGCCCGUGUUCACCACUCAGUAGACAUUUAUUGAAUUAGUGAUAAAACUGGGCCAAAGGGUUUUCAUGUUUCAAGUGAAUAUACCCACUUCACGAGAAUAUUGUAAAGAUUAUAUGGCUUAUCAGAUAUAUUUUUUGAAUUUGAAUGAGUAGCUGUAUUAGUCACAGUCCAGUUGGGAGACAAAAACAUAGCUCAUUUGAACACAGAAAGUUUAAUGUGAUGAGUUAUUAUCUGUAAGAGGGGAGUAACUACAAAGGCAUAAAGAGAACUCUAAAGAAGCCUUUGGGGGUGAGAGAGUAUGUAGGGAAGGAACAAACACAGAAAGAGAGGAUUUCUCCCCAAGGUUUGGAUUCAGAUUUCAUUGGAGAAGGUGUGGUUACCCCCACUGGAUGGCAGAGAAAUUUUAUGGAUUGCCCUGGGCCAGAGCUGGUCCACAGUCAUAGGGCAGAAAAUACGCUCCCAAGAUACAGGCUGGUGGAUAAUGACGGGUGGAAACCAGGAGUCGAGGUGCUGGGAGCCAGUUGCCAGUGGUUUCUGCAUCAGGAGGGCUGCAGUAAGGUGAUUGCUGGACCGGGGCCAGUCCUGAGCUCACCAGCGGAAUGUAUGCACCACUGGAUGCCCUGCAGUGGGAAGGUGCAAAAAGAAAAGAAACAGAAGCAAAAAGAGAAACAAAACCACAACAGAACCAGGGAGAAAAGACCCUUCCUUCUGCAAUGUCCCUCCAGUGCCCUCUACUGACAUAACUUAACAUUUGCCUAUUGCAAAGGAGAAAUGCUAAAGGGCCCCUCUCACUAGAGCACAGCAGCUAGUGAAGGAUGGAUUUUGCAGCUGCAAGGCAAUAGCUGGCACAUGCACUAUGCAACUAGAAAGUUUUAAUUUUUUCCUCAGUACUAAAGCCAAAUAUGGUUUCAGAGAAGGGAAAUAAAGAAUGUGGAACUAUUAAUGCCUUAUCAAAUACUUAAGGAAUUUAGUCUCCCCAGCAUUUCUCUAAUUCCCACAUAUACACUGAUUUUUCCACCAGAUUACCUUAUGUGAUUUUUUUAGAAGGGGUGGGGGCAUUAAUUUUGAAGAGAGACAUUAACAAAAUUGUUAACUGAGCAAAUCUUGAUGAUGGUGCCCUUGUGUCCAUACCCUUGUGAUGCGAUGCCCAAAGAAUUCCUAGGGACUCAUGCUGUUUCUCGUUAUUUGGGACCCCUUCCUCUGAGCUGUCUUCCAUUGGCUGUUCUUCCUGGGCUCUGGGCGAUUUUGCUCUAGCUGAGCUCAUCUAUAUAAUCCUAGGCUAUCCCAUCAUUGCCCUGUAAUUGCCAGCUCUGUGCAAGCAAAUAACUUACAAACACAUCCCUCUGGCCAGGCUGCUCUUCUGAGCUCCCAUACGAAAGUCACUGCUUCUGAUCUUGAAUGUCUCAAAGGCACUCCACACUAACCAUAUCCAAACCAAAUUCAUUCAUCUUAGCACACUUGCCCCUAGUUUACUCCACCUUUGUGCUCUCUGUCUCUCUCCAUCUCUGUCUGUCUCUGUCUCUCGCUCUCUUUCUCUCUCUCUCCCUCCCUCCCUCCUCCUUUCUCUCUCUCUCCCUCCCCUCUCUCUCAAAGAAUGGCAACUUGUGUUUACAAUAUUUUUCUCUCUUACCUUCUAUGUCAUUUGUACUACCCAGUCCCUGGAUCAUAUUCCCUACAAACUUCUUAAAUGUUUUUAGUUCUCUUUAUCUAUAUCAGCACCAACCAAAUGCAAGUUACAUCAUAUAUGAUGUGGAUCACAGCGAUAGCCUCCCAACUACUCUAUUAGCAGCCACUCUGGCCUAUUUCCUAAUGUGCAUCUGACUAUGUCACACAUCCUCCCCCUGCAUUCAUCCUCACCACUUCAAAUGUGUCGCUGGCUUCCCCUUGUGUCGAGGAUAAAGAUGAAACCCCUUAACAUGACUUUCAGAGUCCUUGCAUGGCCCACCUCCUCUCUGCCUCUCAAGCCUGAAUUCAUCUCUAGCUUUCCCUUGUCCUCUCUGCAAUGGCUGUGCUGGCUUUUUUCCAGGUCUCAACCUACUAUUCAGGCAGUGAGGCCUUUGAGCAUGCUGUUCCCUGUGUCUGGAAUGCUCUUUGGAUCUCAUCUCAACCAUUCCCUGGUCACUGUAUCAGUAGUUCAAAUGCCCCAUGAUCAGCUCCCCCCACUGGAAGCUACUGCUACCUGACAGCAAUCUUCAGAAUUAAAUGCUAUAUUUAUUAAUUUGAUUAUUUGAUUGACAAUGCCUAUUUAUUUCUCUACUGGAAGAUCUACUUGGGCAAGCUACACAUUAGUUUUUUCUCACUAUUAUAUACUCAGUGCCUCACCCUGUGCCUUUCAUUUAGGCAAAUUAAUGAAUCUUUAAUAUUGAAAUUCAUGUGCUAAAAAUUUGUGUUGAAAUUCACUCUUUCACUCACUCAUUCAUUCCUUCAACAGAUAUUUAUGGAGCAACUACAUAAGCCUGUCCCUCAGUUAGGGAUUGUGCUCAGAUCUGGACAAAAUAGAAAGGAUCCCUACUUUCAAUGGUGUGAUCAUUCUCAUCCAAAAGGACAAAAAAAAAAAAAACAAA